rnacentral:rRNA from 1 species
AGUCACUGACAUUAGAUACCCGGGUAGUCCUAGCCGUAAACGAUACUCGCUAGGUGUCGGCCACGGUGCGACCGUUGUCGGUGCCGUAGGGAAGCCGUGAAGCGAGCCACCUGGGAAGUACGGCCGCAAGGCUGAAACUUAAAGGAAUUGGCGGGGGAGCACCACUACGGGUGGAGCUUGCGGUUUAAUUGGAUUCAACGCCGGAAAUCUUACCGGGACCGACAGCAACAUGAAGGCCAAGCUGAAGACUUUGCCGGAUUAGCUG